rnacentral:rRNA from 1 species
AGAGUUUGAUCCUGGCUCAGGACGAACGCUGGCGGCGUGCGUAAUACAUGCAAGUCGAGCGGACCUUCGGGUCAGCGGCGGACGGGUGAGGAACACGUGAGUCAUCGGUCGGCGGGUGGGGGAUAUCGGGCCGAAAGGCGCGGCAAUCCCGCAUACGUUCCCACGGGAAGAAAGCCGGGCGACCGGCGCCCGCCGAGGAGCUCGCGGCCCAUUAGCUAGUUGGCAGGGUAAGAGCCUCCCAAGGCGACGAUGGGUAGCCGGCCUGAGAGGGUGAACGGCCACACUGGGACUGAGACACGGCCCAGACUCCUACGGGAGGCAGCAGUAGGGAAUCUUCCACAAUGGGCGCAAGCCUGAUGGAGCAACGCCGCGUGAGUGAAGACGGCCUUCGGGUUGUAAAGCUCUGUCUGUCGGGACGAAGACCGGGACGGGAGUCCCGGGGAGCCGGUACCGACGAUGGAAGCCCCUGCAAACUACGUGCCAGCAGCCACGGUAAGACGUAGGGGGCAAGCGUUGUCCGGAAUUACUGGGCGUAAAGGGCGUGUAGGCGGUGCGAUACGUAGCGGUUUUAAGCCUCCGGCUCACCCGGAGGAGGGCGGCUAAACGGUCGCACUGGAGGGCAGGAGAGGUGCGUGGAAUUCCUGGUGGAGCGGUGAAAUGCGUAGAGAUCAGGAAGAACACCAGUGGCGAAGGCGGCGCACUGGCCUGGCCCUGACGCUGAGGCGCGACAGCGUGGGGAGCAAACGGGAUUAGAUACCCCGGUAGUCCACGCCGUAAACGAUGGAUACUAGGUGUCGUGGGGGUCCACCCUGCGGUGCCGGAGCUAACGCACUAAGUAUCCGCCUGGG